CCUACGGGAGGCUGCAGUGGGGAAUAUUGGACAAUGGGCGAAAGCCUGAUCCAGCCAUGCCGCGUGUGUGAAGAAGGCCUUCGGGGUGUAAAGCACUUUCAGUGGGGAAGAAAGCCUUGGGGCUAAUACCCUCGAGGAAGGACAUCACCCACAGAAGAAGCACCGGCUAACUCCGUGCCAGCAGCCGCGGUAAUACGGAGGGUGCGAGCGUUAAUCGGAAUUACUGGGCGUAAAGCGCGCGUAGGCGGUCUGAUAAGCCGGUUGUGAAAGCCCCGGGCUCAACCUGGGAACGGCAUCCGGAACUGUCAGGCUAGAGUGCAGGAGAGGAAGGUAGAAUUCCCGGUGUAGCGGUGAAAUGCGUAGAGAUCGGGAGGAAUACCAGUGGCGAAGGCGGCCUUCUGGACUGACACUGACGCUGAGGUGCGAAAGCGUGGGUAGCAAACAGGAUUAGAUACCCCUGUAGUC
rnacentral:rRNA from 1 species